UUGCAGCGUUACUUGGUUGCCAUCGAGUAUAUCAGAACUCGUUUCUCCGGUUCACAACAACAACCUACUGACCGCACCGUCGUCGGUGUAUUGCAGGAGGCUUUUCAUAAGUUCAUUGGUCAGCCAGUUAACAUCUUCUGCUCAAGUCGAACGGGGAAGACCAAUGUAGCCGACGCCGCGAUCUAUGCCACUUGCUGUCAUCUCUGAGCACAAAUCCAGAGCUUUCUCCAUAUUGUAUUCUUUACAAACCCCAUGAAUCAAUGAAUUGUAAGUCACAUAGGUUGGGAAAAUUCUCUCAUUCUUCAUCCUCUAAAAAGUAAUUUACAAUUUUUACAUU